GAUGAACGCUAGCGGCAGGCCUAAUACAUGCAAGUCGAGCGGUAUUAAGUAGCAAUACUUAAGAGAGCGGCGCACGGGUGCGUAACGCGUAUGCAACCUACCCACAACUGGAGGAUAGCUUUCGGAAACGGAAAUUAAUACUCCAUAAUGCAGGGGUACCGCAUGGUACUAUUUGCUAAAGAUUUAUUGGUUGUGGAUGGGCAUGCGUCUGAUUAGUUAGUUGGUGAGGUAACGGCUCACCAAGACAUCGAUCAGUAGGGGGUCUGAGAGGAUGAUCCCCCACUCUGGCACUGGGAUACGGGCCAGACUCCUACGGGAGGCAGCAGUAGGGAAUAUUGGGCAAUGGGCGCAAGCCUGACCCAGCCAUGCCGCGUGAAGGAAGAAGGCCUUCUGGGUUGUAAACUUCUUUUAUACAGGAAGAAAAAGGUCAUGCGUGGCCAAUUGACGGUACUGUAUGAAUAAGCACCGGCUAACUCCGUGCCAGCAGCCGCAGUAAGAC
rnacentral:rRNA from 1 species